rnacentral:rRNA from 1 species
AUUGAACGCUAGCGGGAUGCUUUACACAUGCAAGUCGAACGGCAGCGCGGACUUCGGUCUGGCGGCGCGUGGCGAACGGGUGAGUAAUGUAUCGGAACGUGCCCAGUAGCGGGGGAUAACUACGCGAAAGCGUAGCUAAUACCGCAUACGCCCUACGGGUGAAAGCAGGGGAUCGUAAGACCUUGCACUAUUGGAUCGGCCGAUAUCGGAUUAGCUAGUUGGUGAGGUAACGGCUCACCAAGGCGACGAUCCGUAGCUGGUUUGAGAGGACGACCAGCCACACUGGGACUGAGACACGGCCCAGACUCCUACGGGAGGCAGCAGUGGGGAAUUUUGGACAAUGGGGGCAACCCUGAUCCAGCCAUCCCGCGUGUGCGAUGAAGGCCUUCGGGUUGUAAAGCACUUUUGGCAGGAAAGAAACGUCGCGGGCUAAUACCCCGUGGAACUGACGGUACCUGCAGAAUAAGCACCGGCUAACUACGUG